rnacentral:rRNA from 1 species
UCCCCUGACCGCGUAUGAAAGUACGUUUCACCCUCGGGUGACAGGGAGACAGGUGGUGCAUGGUUGUCGUCAGCUCGUGUCGUGAGAUGUGGGUUAAGUCCCGCAACGAGCGCAACCCCUACGUUAGUUGCUAACGCGUGAAGGCGAGCACUCUAGACGAACUGCCGUUGACAAAACGGAGGAAGGUGGGAUGACGUCAAAUCAUCAUGCCCCUUAUGUUCUGGGCUACACACGUGCUACAAUGGCCGGUACAGACGGACGCAAAGCCGCGAGGUGGAGCAAAUCCUAAAAAGCCGGUCUCAGUUCGGAUUGCAGGCUGCAAUUCGCCUGCAUGAAGUCGGAAUCGCUAGUAAUCGCAGGUCAGCAUACUGCGGUGAAUACGUUCCCGGGCCUU